rnacentral:rRNA from 1 species
CCCUUAGAUGUUCUGGGCCGCACGCGCGCUACAAUGAUGCAGGCAACGAGUGCUGCUCCUUGGCCGAAAGGCUUGGGGAACCUUGAAAACUGCAUCGUGCUAGGGAUAGAUGAUUGCAAUCGUGCAUCUUGAACGAGGAAUGCCUUGUAAGCGUGAGUCAUCAACUCGCGCUGAAUACGUCCCUGCCCUUUGUACACACCGCCCGUCGCUCCUACCGAUUGGAUGAUCCGGUGAACUGGUCGGACUGAUGACUGAUAUCGCGGGUGCGGUACAAGCACAGAAAGUCUAGUAAGCCUUAUCAUCUAGAGGAAGGAGAANUCGUANCA